rnacentral:lncRNA from 1 species
ACAUUUUUAGGAUCUCUAGCACUCCUGGCAGAGUAUGAGACCCAGCGACAGAGAUCAGUGUUACCUGUAGUAGGUGUUAUAGAUGGUUUACAGAGACUCUAUAGUAACAAUUUUACACCUAUUGUAAUGUUGAGGAGUCUAGGAUUACAAACAGUCAACUCAUUACAUUUUCUGAAGGUAAGUAUCAAAGAUUCACUAGAAUAUCUGUCUAUAGGACAAUAUACACAGAAUGCAUUAUCAUUGUCUGAACCUUGAAAUCUUGGUAAAAAAAUAUAAUUGAAACAGUUCACAUCAUUAUGAACAUGUGUACAAACUUUCAAGUUGAUGCAGGUGUACUCGGCUCUAAUCUUAAUUGACUAUGAUUGUCAGUUUUCCUAUGGAAGGUCUAUUGUUUUCUCCGGCACUCUGGCUUCCUCCAACAACAAAAACUGGUCCAAAAGUGGUGCUUUAAAGUGGCGUUGAAACACCAACAAUCAAUCAAUCAAGUUGAUGUGACUACAACUUCAUUGUAAAAUACCUUGACUAAAAAUUUGACCUGAUAUGGGAUCAAAAAACUUUUUUUCAUAGAUAAGGAUAAAAGAAUAGUAGGAUAUCUAGCCUCUUAGGUUUAUAGACAUUCUGUCAACUGCAUACAUUUGUAUGUAGCCAAUCAUUCCUCUAAUAUUAGAAGGAGACCAGAAUAUAAUACAUGUAGGCAUAAAUAUAUUUAAAAUAUGUCUUAUUGUGAAAUUCACCUCUGAUGCCAUUUGUGACUGGAGUUAUGAUCCCAAUCUAGACUAACCUACCUAAAUUUCUUUUAUUUUAAUUUAAAUACAACUUUGUAUGUGCUCAAUUCUAGUUCAUUUGAUCUUGUAAAUUCCUUAUGACAUGUCAGUCUUAUUUUUCUGUGCUUCAAUAGUUAAGAUUAGUACAAAGUAAAAUUUUAUUUAGAAUUGUAAAUAUUAUAUACAAGUGCUGUUCAGUGUUAGUCAUGGUUCCGUGUUGAAGACACCUAUAAUGGUUACUUUUACAAAUUGUGCCUUGGAUGGUGAGUUGUCUCAUUGGCACUCACACCACAUCUUCUUAUACCUAUAUACAAUGUGUAAUUUUAUUUCUUUCAGAAUAUUAUUAUCAAACAGGCCUCAACUUGAUGGAAAAACAAAAGACACAUCAUUUAUUUAUAGAAGUAUCAAGAAGGAAGAUGUUACUUUGCUGUGCAAUAAACUUUGUUGAAUGAAUUAUAUACAUAAAUGGUACACAGUGUUACAGUCACCUUAGGAAUAUAUGAACUUUCAUUGGUCAAAUAUUUAUAUGUGAGAUAGAUAUUUUUGUUUCAUUCAUGAAACAAGUAAGUUGACAUUUGAUCUAGCUAUUGGAGUUUACCAUUGUUAUAUUUAGUUAUAUCAUGAACAGAACAAUGUUAUUAGCAAAUGAAAA